UCGAGAAUUUUUCACAAUGGGCGAAAGCCUGAUGGAGCGACGCCGCGUGGGGGAUGAAUGGCUUCGGCCCGUAAACCCCUGUCAUUUGCGAUCAACCGUUGUUAUUUAAAAGAUGACAGCCUGAUAGUAGCGAAAGAGGAAGGGACGGCUAACUCUGUGCCAGCAGCCGCGGUAAUACAGAGGUCCCAAGCGUUGUUCGGAUUCACUGGGCGUAAAGGGUGCGUAGGUGGCGGGGUAAGUCGGAUGUGAAAUCUCGGAGCUCAACUCCGAAAUGGCAUUGGAAACUACCCUGCUCGAGGAUUGGAGGGGGGACUGGAAUACUUGGUGUAGCAGUGAAAUGCGUAGAUAUCAAGUGGAACACCAGUGGCGAAGGCGAGUCCCUGGACAACUCCUGACACUGAGGCACGAAAGCUAGGGGAGCAAACAG
rnacentral:rRNA from 1 species